AUCAAUUUUGUGCAAAUAAACCAUGUUUCUUUUAAAAAGACUUGUGCACUUGCCCAGGCUCAAGGAUAUUAAAAUCCAGCACGGAGAGAGCCCACGUCUGACCUC